UAGAAUGGAGAAAUUUAAGCC
rnacentral:piRNA from 1 species